rnacentral:rRNA from 1 species
GUGCCAGCAGCCGCGGUAAUACGAAGGGUGCAAGCGUUACUCGGAAUUACUGGGCGUAAAGCGUGCGUAGGUGGUCGUUUAAGUCCGUUGUGAAAGCCCUGGGCUCAACCUGGGAACUGCAGUGGAUACUGGGCGACUAGAGUGUGGUAGAGGGUAGCGGAAUUCCUGGUGUAGCAGUGAAAUGCGUAGAGAUCAGGAGGAACAUCCAUGGCGAAGGCAGCUACCUGGACCAACACUGACACUGAGGCACGAAAGCGUGGGGAGCAAACAGGAUUAGAUACCCUGGUAGUCCACGCCCUAAACGAUGCGAACUGGAUGUUGGGUGCAAUUUGGCACGCAGUAUCGAAGCUAACGCGUUAAGUUCGCCGCCUGGGGAGUACGGUCGCAAGACUGAAACUCAAAGGAAUUGACGGGGGCCCGCACAAGCGGUGGAGUAUGUGGUUUAAUUCGAUGCAACGCGAAGAACCUUACCUGGCCUUGACAUGUCGAGAACUUUCCAGAGAUGGAUUGGUGCCUUCGGGAACUCGAACACAGGUGCUGCAUG